CCUACGGGUGGCAGCAGUGAGGAAUAUUGGUCAAUGGACGAGAGUCUGAACCAGCCAAGUAGCGUGAAGGAUGACUGCCCUAUGGGUUGUAAACUUCUUUUAUAAAGGAAUAAAACGAGGCACGUGUGCCUUUUUGCAUGUACUUUAUGAAUAAGGAUCGGCUAACUCCGUGCCAGCAGCCGCGGUACUACGGAGGAUCCGAGCGUUAUCCGGAUUUAUUGGGUUUAAAGGGAGCGUAGAUGGGUUGUUAAGUCAGUUGUGAAGGUUUGCGGCUCAACCGUAAAAUUGCAAUUGAUAAUGGCAGUCUUGAGUACAGUUGAGGUAUGCGGAAUGCGUGGUGUAGCGGUGAAAUGCAUAGAUAUCACGCAGAACUCCGAUUGCGAAGGCAGCAUACCGGCGCCCAACUGACGCUGAAGCACGAAAGCGUGGGUAUCGAACAGGAUUAGAUACCCUAGUAGUC
rnacentral:rRNA from 1 species